UACAGAGGGUGCAAGCGUUAAUCGGAUUUACUGGGCGUAAAGCGUGUGUAGGUGGCUGUUCAAGUCGGUUGUGAAAUCCCUGGGCUCAACCUGGGAAUUGCUUCCGAGACUGAGCGGCUAGAGUACGGUAGAGGGCGGUGGAAUUUCCGGUGUAGCGGUGAAAUGCGUAGAUAUCGGAAGGAACACCAAUGGCGAAGGCAGCCGCCUGGGCCUGUACUGACACUGAGACACGAAAGCGUGGGGAUCAAACAGG
rnacentral:rRNA from 1 species